rnacentral:rRNA from 1 species
GUGAGGGAGUGACGGCCUCCGGUUGGUAAACCUACUUUCUAGCAGGGAAGGAAGACGAGGAGUGACGGUACCUGCAGAAGAAGCGCCGGCUAACUACGUGCCAGCAGCCGCGGUAAUACGUAGGGCGCAAGCGUUGUCCGGAAUUAUUGGGCGUAAAGAGCUCGUAGGCGGCUUGUCACGUCGGGUGUGAAAGCCCGGGGCUUAACCCCGGGUCUGCAUUCGAUACGGGCUAGCUAGAGUGUGGUAGGGGAGAUCGGAAUUCCUGGUGUAGCGGUGAAAUGCGCAGAUAUCAGGAGGAACACCGGUGGCGAAGGCGGAUCUCUGGGCCAUUACUGACGCUGAGGAGCGAAAGCGUGGGGAGCGAACAGGAUUAGAUACCCUGGUAGUCCACGCCGUAAACGGUGGGAACUAGGUGUUGGCGACAUUCCACGUCGUCGGUGCCGCAGCUAACGCAUUAAGUUCCCCGCCUGGGGAGUACGGCCGCAAGGCUA